AGGGCCAUAGUUCAAUGGCAGAAUAGAGGUCUCCAAAACCUUUGAUAGUGGUUCGACUCCACUUGGCCCUGCUA
rnacentral:tRNA from 1 species